rnacentral:rRNA from 1 species
AUUGAACGCUGGCGGCAUGCCUUACACAUGCAAGUCGAACGGCAGCACGGGUGCUUGCACCUGGUGGCGAGUGGCGAACGGGUGAGUAAUACAUCGGAACAUGUCCUGUAGUGGGGGAUAGCCCGGCGAAAGCCGGAUUAAUACCGCAUACGAUCUACGGAUGAAAGCGGGGGACCUUCGGGCCUCGCGCUAUAGGGUUGGCCGAUGGCUGAUUAGCUAGUUGGUGGGGUAAAGGCCUACCAAGGCGACGAUCAGUAGCUGGUCUGAGAGGACGACCAGCCAAACUGGGACUGAGACACGGCCCAGACUCCUACGGGAGGCAGCAGUGGGGAAUUUUGGACAAAGGGCGGAAGCCUGAUCCAGCCAUGCCGCGGGGGUGAAGAAGGCCUUCGGGUUGGAAAGCCCUUUUGUUCGGAAAGAAAAGCUUGGGCCUAAUACCGGCCGGGGAUGACGGUACCGGAAGAAUAAGCACCGGCUAACUACGUG